UAGUGAGAGGAAGAUACUUAGCUAUCCCAGAAUCAGAGAUUCUCUGCAAAUGCAGAAAACAGGAACCCGAUACUCUAGAGCAUAUAUUCUUUUCCUGUGAUUUUGGUAGUUAUGCCAGAAAACAAUUAUUUGAGGCCCUAAAAGUUAAUAGACAGAUUUUUACACAACCAACUGUUCAGGACCUGCUGGCGGACAGCGAUGAUCAAAUUACUUUAAUAGCGGCUGAAUUUUUAAGUGCUGUCCAUGAAGAAAGAAUGGGCCAUGAUAAAGAGACUUAGUGGUUUUUAAUGGUAGGUGAUGUUGCUGUGUUGUUGUAUUAUAUUAUCUAUGUACAUCGAUUUAUUUCUUGGAGUUAAGAAUAGGACUGGGAUAAAUUGUGUUCGCUGAGCCCGUAUUUUAUACAGUCUGUAUAUGAUGUUUGUUUGUUAGUGUGUGGUGUGCCAUGCCUAAUAAAGGAU